AUUGAACGCUGGCGGCAGGCCUAACACAUGCAAGUUGAGCGGAUGAAGGGAGCUUGCUCCUGGAUUCAGCGGCGGACGGGUGAGUAAUGCCUAGGAACCUGCCUGGUAGUGGGGGAUAACGUCCGGAAACGGGCGCUAAUACCGCAUACGCCCUGAGGGAGAAAGUGGGGGAUCUUCGGACCUCACGCUAUCAGAUGAGCCUAGGUCGGAUUAGCUAGUUGGUGGGGUAAAGGCCUACCAAGGCGACGAUCCGUAACUGGUCUGAGAGGAUGAUCAGUCACACUGGAACUGAGACACGGUCCAGACUGCUACAGAAGGCAGCGGUGGGGAAUAUUAGACAUGUGGCGAAGGACUGAUCCUGCCACGCCGCGUGAGUGAAGAAAGUCUUCGGAGUGUAAAGAGCUUUGAGUUGGGAAGAAGGGAAGUAAGUUUGUACCUUGCUGUUUUGACGUGGGCGACAGAAUAAGCACCGGCUAACUUCGUG
rnacentral:rRNA from 1 species